CUCUGUGCUGUUGGACUUGGAGGAUUGUUGCUGAUAGGCCAGGGCAGCCCACUGAGGGUGCUUUAAAUCAAGAUUUUGGGAGUGGUAUGAUGGCAAGGUCUAGAGUGAGUGGAUAAGGUAGAUGAGAUCAGUUGUGUUGAAAUGAAGGUUUUGACUACUGGAUAAUACGAGCAAAAACACAUAAAAGCACUACUACGCUAGAAGAUUGAAGCAAAAAGAAUUUUUUUUUUAAAACAAAAGAUGAUAAUUCUAGAAUGGAGAGCAAGAAAAUAACAUAUUGGGGCUGGGUGUGGU
rnacentral:lncRNA from 1 species